UUUGCCUACGGGGGGCAGCAGUGGGGAAUAUUGCACAAUGGGGGAAACCCUGAUGCAGCGACGCCGCGUGAGCGAGGAAGUACCUCGGUAUGUAAAGCUCUGUCAGCAGGGAAGAAAAUGACAGUACCUGACCAAGAAGCCCCGGCUAACUACGUGCCAGCAGCCGCGGUAAUACGUAGGGGGCAAGCGUUAUCCGGAUUUACUGGGUGUAGAGGGAGCGUAGGUGGCAGGGCAAGUCAGAUGUGAAAACCCGGGGCUCAACUCCGGGAGUGCAUUUGAAACUGUCCAGCUAGAGUGCAGGAGAG
rnacentral:rRNA from 1 species